GCAAAAGUUAGGAAAGAGAAAAAGUAAGAGUGGAGAGCAGAAACGUCAAACGCAAAGGACGCACAGGUUACUGGGGCCUAAAAGGACAAUGAGUGUAAGGGCACUUUAUCUGAAUGCCCCAUAGUAUUCAAAACAAGUGGAGGAUACGUCUAACAUGCUGAAGAGAGAUGUUAUGGAUGCGAUGGGAGCUUUGGCUAUAAUUUAGCCAGUCAAGCCAGCUCUUCUAUCGUGAGCCCUGACAUCGACUGUGCACUUGACAGAGAAAAUGGAAAUACAUCAGCUGAAAAUUGGGUGAAGUUCAAGAAAUAAAAG